rnacentral:rRNA from 1 species
UGGGGAAUAUUGCACAAUGGGCGCAAGCCUGAUGCAGCCAUGCCGCGUGUAUGAAGAAGGCCUUCGGGUUGUAAAGUACUUUCAGUCGGGAGGAAGGUGUCAAGGUUAAUAACCUUGGCAAUUGACGUUACCGACAGAAGAAGCACCGGCUAACUCCGUGCCAGCAGCCGCGGUAAUACGGAGGGUGCAAGCGUUAAUCGGAAUUACUGGGCGUAAAGCGCACGCAGGCGGUUGAUUGAGUCAGAUGUGAAAUCCCCGGGCUUAACCCGGGAAUUGGCUUUGAUAACGGUCAGGUAGAGUCUUGUAGAGGGGGGUAGAAUUCCAUGGGUAGGGGUGAAAAUGGUAGAGAUGUGGAGGAAUUCCGGUGGCGAAGGCGGCCCCCUGGACAAAGACUGACGCUCAGGUGCGAAAGCGUGGGGAGCAAACAGG